UACGUAGGGACCGAGCGUUGUCCGGAAUCAUUGGGCGUAAAGAGCGUGUAGGCGGCUAUUUAAGUCCUGCGUGAAAUCCGUGCGGCUCAACCGCAAGACGGUCGUGGGAACUGGAUGGCUAGAGUGACGGGAGAGGAGAGUGGAAUUCCCGGUGUAGCGGUGAAAUGCGCAGAUAUCGGGAAGAACACCCGUGGCGAAGGCGGCCUGCUGGGCUGUUGCUGACGCUGAGGCGCGACAGCGUGGGGAGCAAACAGG
rnacentral:rRNA from 1 species